rnacentral:rRNA from 1 species
AAUAUUUGACAAUGGGCGCAAGCCUGAUCCAGCCAUGCCGCGUUAGUGAUGAAGGCCCUAGGGUUGUAAAGCUCUUUCAACGGUGAAGAUAAUAACGGUAACCGUUGAAGAAGCCCCGGCUAACUUCGUGCUACCAGCCACGGUAAUCCGAAGGGGGUGCACGUUGUUCGGAAUUACAGGGCGUAAAGCGCACGUAGGCGGAUCGAUCAGUUAGGGGUGAAAUCCCAGGGCUAAACCCUGGAACUGCCUCUAAUACUGUCGAUCUCGAGUUCGAGAGAGGUGAGUGGAAUUCCGAGUGUAGAGGUGAAAUUCGUAGAUAUUCGGAGGAACACCAGUGGCGAAGGCGGCUCACUGGCUCGAUACUGACGCUGAGGUGCGAAAGCGUGGGGAGCAAACA